CAGCAGCCGCGGUAAUACGUAGGUGGCGAGCGUUGUCCGGAUUUAUUGGGCGUAAAGGGAGUGUAGGCGGUCUUUUAAGUCUGAUGUGAAAGCCCACGGCUCAACCGUGGAGGGUCAUUGGAAACUGGGAGACUUGAGUGCAGAAGAGGAGAGCGGAAUUCCAUGUGUAGCGGUGAAAUGCGUAGAUAUAUGGAGGAACACCAGUGGCGAAGGCGGCUCUCUGGUCUGUAACUGACGCUGAGGCUCGAAAGCGUGGGGAGCAAACAGGAUUAGAUACCCCCGUAGUCCCUGUCUCUUAUAA
rnacentral:rRNA from 1 species